rnacentral:lncRNA from 1 species
UUUAUAUUUACAUGAAGAUAAUAAAUCUUAGAUAAACUAGCUCGAUACAUAUCACAUCAUCUCCUUCCUCAAUUCAAAACUCUUUUGAAUUCUCUCAGAUCAUCUUACUCCAAGCUCAUUUUCACUUUUAUCUUCACUCCCACAUUCCAUUUCCCCCUUUUUAAUUCCUAGGAAACGUCUAUUUCUCCAUAACCUUUGUCCUGAAUCCAAUUUGACUUAAUAUUUUCGAUUAUUUCUUUUAGCAAUAAUUCUUCCAUGAUCUGCCCAUCGUAUAAUUUUAAACAGUUACAAUCUCUCCAACACUAAUUAAUUUCCGUAACAUCGGAACGUAACAUUUCUAAUAAACAAGUAUGCAUGAUCUUAAUUGAUGCCCAUAUAAAAUAUCAUUAGGUGACCUUCUGUCCACUCUCAGCGUAUUUCUGAAUUCUAGGAUUCCAUGGAUAAACUCGUCGGAAAUUAAUAUUCCUCCAACCUUAUAAAGAAGAGUUUUCAUUGCCUUCACCAUAGACUCCGCGUGGCCAUUACUUUGUGGAUAAUGAGGUGAUGAUGGUUCCUAUGUUACUCCCCACUUAGGAAUUCCUGUUCAUGAAAAUAUCUUCCUCAGCACAACUAUAACUUCCCCUGAAGUCGGGACUCUUCUAAAUUCCUCCAUAUCUGCUGACGUAUUUUCGAAAGGUCUCAUCCGAAUUAGAUCUCUCAUCAUUGGCUCCCCUCCGAUACUUGGCCAAGUUACUGUCUGCCUCGCUCUUCUCUUCGUUCUCUCGAUCCCUUGAUGUGCACGAUGUAACCUCUGAAGAACAUCACACCGCUUAUUUCUUGGAAUUACUAGCCUAUCCUUAUAAAGAAUAACACCAUCUUCUUUGCUCUACUCAUGUAAUAUUUUCACAAAUGAUUCAAUUGUGUGUUUUAUCAAACCUAUUUCAAUUGCGCAAAUUAAAUCAAUAUAUUCUCGGUCUCAACAAA